rnacentral:rRNA from 1 species
GACGAACGCUGGCGGCGUGCUUAACACAUGCAAGUCGAACGGUGAAGCGCCUUCCUUUUUGGUGGGUGUGGAUGAGUGGCGAACGGGUGAGUAACACGUGAGUAACCUGCCACCUUCUUCUGGAUAACCGCAUGAAAGUGUGGCUAAUACGGGAUAUUCUGGGUCUGUCGCAUGAUGGGUCUGGGAAAGAUAUUGUUUCGGUGGGGGAUGGGUUCGCGGCCUAUCAGCUUGUUGGUGGGGUGAUGGCCUACCAAGGCGGUGACGGGUAGCCGUCCUGAGAGGGUGGACGGUCACACUAGGGAUGAGACACGGCGCAGACUACGACGGGAGGCAGCAGGGGGGAAUACUGCACAGGGGGCGCACGGCUGAUGCAGCGACGCCGGGUGAGGGAAGGAGGCCGGCGGGUUGUGAACUUCUUUCGCCAGAGAAGCAGGCCGGCCUCGUUUGUGGGUGUGUUGACGGUAGCUGGAUAAGAAGCGCCGGCUAACUACGUG